CCUACGGGUGGCUGCAGUGGGGAAUAUUGGACAAUGGGCGAAAGCCUGAUCCAGCCAUGCCGCGUGUGUGAAGAAGGCCUUCGGGUUGUAAAGCACUUUCAGUGGGGAAGAAAGCCUUGGGGCUAAUACCCUCGAGGAAGGACAUCACCCACAGAAGAAGCACCGGCUAACUCCGUGCCAGCAGCCGCGGUAAUACGGAGGGUGCGAGCGUUAAUCGGAAUUACUGGGCGUAAAGCGCGCGUAGGCGGUCUGAUAAGCCGGUUGUGAAAGCCCCGGGCUCAAACUGGGAACGGCAUCCGGAACUGUCAGGCUAGAGUGCAGGAGAGGAAGGUAGAAUUCCCGGUGUAGCGGUGAAAUGCGUAGAGAUCGGGAGGAAUACCAGUGGCGAAGGCGGCCUUCUGGACUGACACUGACGCUGAGGUGCGAAAGCGUGGGUAGCAAACAGGAUUAGAUACCCUAGUAGUC
rnacentral:rRNA from 1 species